AGCAGCCGCGGUAAUUCCAGCUCCAAUAGCGUAUAUUAAAGUUGUUGCAGUUAAAAAGCUCGUAGUUGAAUUUCGAGAUCAAAUUGUUGGUCGUGCCUUGGUACGCACUGGCAUUAUUGGUUUCUCCCUUCUGACGAACCAUGAUGUCAUUAACUUGGUGUCUUGGGGAAUCAGGACUGUUACUUUGAAAAAAUUAGAGUGUUUAAAGCAGGCUCACGCUUGAAUACAUUAGCAUGGAAUAAUGAAAUAGGACGUUUGAUUCUAUUUUGUUGGUUUCUAGGAUCGACGUAAUGAUUAAUAGGGAUAGUUGGGGGCAUUAGUAUUCAAUUGUCAGAGGUGAAAUUCUUGGAUUUAUUGAAGACUAACUACUGCGAAAGCAUUUGCCAAGGAUGUUUUCAUUAAUCAAGAACGAAAGUUAGGGGAUCGAAGACGAUCAGAUACCGUCGUAGUCUUAACCAUAAACUAUGCCGACUAGGGAUCGGAUGAUGUUAAUUUUUUAAUGACUCAUUCGGCGCCUUAC
rnacentral:misc_RNA from 1 species